UACGAAGGGGGCUAGCGUUGCUCGGAUUUACUGGGCGUAAAGCGCACGUAGGCGGUUUGUUAAGUCAGAGGUGAAAUCCCGGAGCUCAACUCCGGAACUGCCUUUGAUACUGGCAGCUAGAGUCCGGAAGAGGUAAGUGGAACUCCUAGUGUAGAGGUGGAAUUCGUAGAUAUUAGGAAGAACACCAGUGGCGAAGGCGGCUUACUGGUCCGGAACUGACGCUGAGGUGCGAAAGCGUGGGGAGCAAACAGG
rnacentral:rRNA from 1 species